GAUUUUCAAUGAUUUAGGCACGUGUCUCCCCUCCCUCCUUCACUACAGCCCUCGUGCCCAGAGCUGACAUGAGUCCUCCCACGGGUCCACCCCUGAGUCUGCUCACAAGGAUGAGAACAGUGGAUGCAGUGGUUGAUAGUGGAUGCAGUGUGUCUGUAUAGUCGAUGCAAAGUGUGUGUGUGUGUGUGUGUGUACAGUGCAUUCAGAGUGUGAAUGCAGAGAGUGUGUGUAAGGAAAGUGGAUGCAGUGUGGGUAUAGUGGAU